rnacentral:lncRNA from 1 species
CCGUUUACAGAAACUUGGCCCAGUUACAUUGAAGCCCAAAACAAAAAAACACAAGCAGAAACCCUAGGGCAUCUGCAAACUCCAGCCGCCGCACGUGGAAACCAGUUUCGUCUGCGUGCGUGUUCUAGUAGUCACUGUCCCUCCGCACGCACCAGGCGCGUCCUUCCUCCAGGCUGGCUGAGCACUAUACACCUACGACACAAACGAAAAACCAAACGCAACGCACACAGCAACAGACAACAAAAAGCAGAAAUCGAGAGAAAAAUAAAAAAGAAAAAAAUAGAAAAGAGCAAAAAGAAAAAUGAUGUACUUUUCAAUUCGGCUAUAAAGCCAAUUUUUUCUUUAGAAUCAGAGGACGGAGGCAUAUUGUAUGAGAAAAAAAUGAAAUCAAUUCAACAAAGGUUUUCUUUUUUUCUCUCUUUUUUCUUCAAUCGUUCUUCUUUGUUUCGUUCUUUGUUCUUGUUAUUAAUACAUAUAAGCACUUAUAAAAUAAAAAGAAAUAGGGGAAGAGAACUUACCUUCCGGUUUGAGGCCGCCGAACCUUGCUCACUUCGUUGAAAUCGAAGUUUGAUAGAGGGCAAAUCGGUGUUGCGGCGGAGGGAAGGGCCUAGGGUUCCUUUGUUUUUUUUUUUUUUGUUUUUAAGGCUGCUGAGAAUGUUUAGCAGGCUACCGAUUUAAGGUAUUUUGUUAAGCCUUCAUAACGCAAAAACGGCAUCGUUUAAAGUCUUCUACCAUGGCAUUAAAACGGCACCGUGUAGGCCUGCAACCCGCGUGUGUGACCCGACCCGGGGAGGAUCCGCGCGUCCAGCC